rnacentral:rRNA from 1 species
GAUCAUGGCUCAGGAUGAACGCUAGCGGCAGGCUUAACACAUGCAAGUCGAGGGGCAUCGGGAGUAGCAAUACUUGCCGGCGACCGGCGCAAGGGUGCGUAACGCGUGAGCAACAUGCCCGUAUCAGGGGGAUAAUCCAUGGAAACGUGGUCUAAUACCCCAUAGUAAUUAUGUAAGGCAUCUUAUAUAAUUUAAAGCUUUGGUGGAUACGGAUUGGCUCGCGUGACAUUAGCUGGAUGGUAAGGUAACGGCUUACCAUGGCUACGAUGUCUAGGGGUUCUGAGAGGAAGGUCCCCCACACUGGAACUGAGACACGGUCCAGACUCCUACGGGAGGCAGCAGUGAGGAAUAUUGGACAAUGGAUGGAAAUCUGAUCCAGCCAUGCCGCGUUGCAGGAAGACGGCCUAUGGGUUGUAAACUGCUUUUGUAUGGGAGCAAUAAGGGCUACGUGUAGUCCGAUGAGAGUACCAUACGAAUAAGCACCGGCUAACUCCGUGCCAGCCGCGGC